UGAGAAAUGUACCGAACAUUCGAUGUAAAGACGAAAUUUGAAUGUAAAUUGACAUUCAUUUGGAUGUGAUUCUACAUCUCCUUGAUAUUACGCAGGUUCAGAUCUAUAAGUUUCCAUUUACGUUGCAGUUGUGUAAUAUUCGCAUGUCAAAGCGAUGAAUAAUUACACACAAUCAUAUGCAACCCAUUAACUCAAAAGUGUUGUGUGAAAUUACACAACUUUGGAUGUGAUAUGACAAUCAUUCACUACGCAAUAUUGUAUAUUGGCAACACUGACCUAUCUCUCGUCUCCUGUCGUCGCUUGCCGUGAGUGCGCCAUUUUUUCUUUGGUUCUCUGCUGAUUUUCCUUCGAUCAGAGCAUAAAAUCUGUGCAAAUUGUGGUAAAUUGAUGGGACGCGACCAGUAUUAAAACUCCUUAUAGUGACCUGGGUAAACGAAGCUUCUACUACUAAUCUCAAUUUCAUACGGAUUUAUGGAACAUCGCUAGACGAUACGCUGUUCAGUCGAGGACAAGGUGAGAAGCCCUCGGAGGAGCCAUUAGAGAUGAAUCAAAACAAAAAUAACUGUCCAGCGAUGAUCCUGUUUCGGACUAGUAUCAUGUACGAUUCGAGUGACAGUAGGUACCCUUAGGUACCAAACAUGGGAUUUAAACUAUUCCGGGUGUCUGAUAGUAUCAUGCUGCUGCACAACCGACCAGCAACAUUCGUCAUUAGAAA